UCUAUGAAAUCAAGUACCCUUCAGUCUGGGAUCCCAACUCGUUUCAGUGGCAGUGGAUCUGGGACUGACUUCACUCUGACCAUCAGUGGAGUCCAGGCUGAAGAUGCAGGAGAUUAGUACUGUCAGAGUGCACACUACCCCAGCAGUAACUGGGUGUUCAC